rnacentral:rRNA from 1 species
CAGCAGCCACGGUAAUACGGAGGGUGCAAGCGUUAUCCGGAUUCACUGGGUUUAAAGGGUGCGUAGGCGGAUCUGUAAGUCAGUGGUGAAAUCUCCAGGCUUAACCUGGAAACUGCCGUUGAUACUAUAGGUCUUGAAUUUUGUGGAGGUUAGCGGAAUAUGUCAUGUAGCGGUGAAAUGCAUAGAUAUGACAUAGAACACCAAUUGCGAAGGCAGCUGGCUACACAACUAUUGACGCUGAGGCACGAAAGCGUGGGGAUCAAACAGGAUUAGAUACCCGCGUAGUCCCUGUCUCUUAUAC